AAAAAAAAAAAGUUUUUGCCACUUUUGAACCCGUAUCAAAUCUAAAUUGGGUUGGAUUUGACCCAUUUUGAAAGUCCCAAUUGUCAACACAAUUAAUUUCCAAAUUCUCGUCCCUCCCUACAACGCUAAUCACCCAAAGUGUUCUUGCCAAUCCACAUAUUUUGCUUGCUUCUAAUAGUUUAAUAGAUAAACAGAUAAUUAAUUGAUUCUCUAACCGUGAAUCCCUUACGAUAACUUCAGUAAUUUGCAGACAUAUAUAUAUAUCACAGCCAGGUUGUGAGGCAAAAGAUGACCGCUAAUAUCCAAAAAUUCCGAUCUCUUUCAACCACUGUGAAUCAUAGUUUCGAGUCAAGAUGGAUCUUGCAUCACUAUCGCCUCCUGCAUCAUGGUCCAGAUACAAUGGAGGAAUUAUUGGAUAGACACGUCGUCAAAAAGGAGAAGAGCCUGGAUGAUGACAAGAACGAGCUCCUAAAUAGACAGCGACUCACUGGCAGUCGACGCGAGGCUCUAAGUCUAUACCGAGACGUCAUCCGCGCUACCCGGUUCUUCAUGUGGGCCAACUCUCAAGGCAUAAUUUGGCGGGAUGUUCUCAGAGAAAAUGUCCGAAAGGAAUUCGAGGAGGCACGAUUUGAGAGAGAUCCAGAAGUCAUCACCAGGUUGCUAAUUGGGGGUCGGGAUGCUCUACAAGCUGCUUUGGAAAAACUUGCGGACAAACAAAAGCAAGAAAUCGAAAAGCAACAUGGCAAUUCAAAUACUCCUUGAUAUUCUGCCGCGGUCAAGUUAGUCGUCAAUUGGUCGACUCUUUGGUACGUAGUAUUUAAGAUCUUUAAUUCAGAUGGACUUUUGGUCGAUGGGACUCCAAUCAAUAAAGUAAGGUUAAGUUUGCAGGAAAGUUACAAUUAGCACAACUUCACCAUGUUGGGAUAUAAAUGCAUAACCAAAAGCACUAAUAAUUUGUGUCCCUUACAAAAGACUGAUGGAUGAACACAGAAAUCAAUCAGAAGAAGUAGAUAAAAGAGAUGUGAAAGGGAAGUCUGAUGGGCUUUGAAGUAGGGAGAUGCAUAGGUACCGGGUAACUCUGUCCACCAAGACUUGGAUGGAUCAAGACAUCGCCUAGUGUUUUUUUUUUUGUCUCCGUUGGAUUUGAAACUAAGACCUUGUGGUUCUCAAUCACACAUUGACCACUAGGCCACACCCUUAGGUGCAUGACAGUCUCUUCUUUGCGCUCCAGUAUCAUGGUUUUGUCCGGACUCUGGAUGAUAGCAAUUUGUAGCAAUACAUGAUGGUUAUGAUUCACCAUCUUAUCAUACUUCAUAUUAUAAGUUUGGAAGUUGGAAUUGUUGUCAUUAUUGUUAGACAUGUUUAUUUGAUGAAUGUAUAACUUCUUUGCAAUCAAACUUAAUUAUCUAUCAUGCAUUAUUAGUACUUUUCAUUGCAUAGUUAGCAGAGCCAAAUUGUAAAAUGUAGGUUGACAUUCGAAAAAAAAAAAAAAAGCUUUAUUUUUUGAGUAAAUAGCUUUCCUCGUGUAGAAUUGAAAGUAGCCAAUCAGAUGGAGAACUAGAAUCAUGUUUAUGAGCUCGCGAAGUUUGGUUAUUGGUCACAAAUGAAAAUUUAGCCCCCUCCUUGGUAAGGGCGGUGUGGGGGCAGUGGAAAAUUUUACUGUUUGAAGCUUAUGUACGUUAGUUAAACAAUCGAGUCUCUUUCCGAUCCACUCUUCUUUCUCCAUUGUUAAAUGAUACUAUUUAGCUAUGUUGAUUGUGCAGGUGUUAUGAAAUGUACAGUGAUAGUUCAAGAA